UUGAUUGGCCUUUUCCCGGUGCCUGCGCGAGAUGAGCGGCGUGGGCCGGGGCCGGAUCCGCGCCCGGGCUGCCGGGGCGCCUGGGCCGUUCCUAAGGGUGAAACCUGGUGGCGGUGAAAAACUCUUGCCAACUAUAUGGCAGAAGAAAAGAAGUAAGAAAGACUGAUACAUGACUCCAAGUUCCAGAAGAUGUUUUAGAAAUUGUGGUCUGCAAAUAGAUCUACCAGUCUAUUGAUCUGGAUGAAGUCAUCCUUCAAAGGAAAAUAAUUUACCAUGAUUCAGUAGGCAGCAGUCCUUCUGAGAGCACUUACUGUGAAGAGCAAAGAUAUUCCAGAGACUUGUGUUGUGAAUGUGUAUUUUAAGGUUGCAUGAAGAAUUAUUGGCAAAGGCACUGCAAAAGCAGGGUUGGUGUGAAAGCAAAAGCAUUACAAAGUUCAUUGCUCAGGUUCACCCUGCUACUUCCUAUAUAGUUAAAACACGCAGAGAAAAAGCAUACAAAAAUCUAAACCCAUUCUAUCUGGAACCAAAAUUACCUGUGACAAGGCUUGGGGGCUGAGAGGGGAGGAGGGGGAGGAAAAUAAAUGCUUGGAAAGGAUAAAGAUCAAGAGGAAUAAAGAAGGCCCUAAUGUUGACUCACAAGAUUCAGAGUAGACCCACUUGCAAAAUGAAGCCUAUGAAAUUUUUGGUUUAAAGGUUUAAAAAUAAACUUAACAGUAGUUAGUCUA